AUGGCCAAGCUUAGCUUUGGCUCGCAAAGAGGCAGGGAACCAGCCUUUGACGGAGGAUGCCGCCGUCUCAAUAGAAGUGCAAGGAAAAGUUGGACUCGUACUGCCUGAUCCCACUGACUUCAUACAGUGGUUCUGAUUCUAACAAGCCAACCACUUAUCUGUGUGGCGCCGGGGCAACCAGGUGGGACCUGCGCUGGCCCUGGCCACCUCUCUGGCCCUGCCUCUGAUUAUGGGGAAGAAGAAUUGGGAUCAAUGCAGAAGAGAAGAAGUACAGUUUAUCCUCAUUAGCUUUGCAAUGAAAAUAAAGAAGAUGAAACACUUUCCAUCA